rnacentral:tRNA from 1 species
UCCGCGAUAGCUCAAUGGUGGAGCACGUGACUGUUAAUCACGGGGUUGUAGGUUCGAGUCCUACUCGCGGAG